UCGAAACUUUGUAAGGGUGCCUAUGCCAUA
rnacentral:piRNA from 1 species